CCUAUUACAUCCGGAACGAGGACCUAUCGCUUUGCGAUCGCAUACAAGAGUGAGCCAUCUUUUGACGAUGGUAGGAUAAUUAUUGACCUGAGGAAUAAUAUGGAUUUAUGUGGUUGUGGUGGACUUUGUGUUUGUGAUUGUGAAAAUGUGAGUGUGUGUCUGUGUAUGUGUGAACCAGGGAUCCCACUUGACAAGUUGACCUUGUCUAGAGGAGCAUUAGUGGAAAAAAACAGGGUAGCCCUGAGACAAUAGGAUGCCGUCACGACCAAUGAGACUGGCCUGCAGGGGGCGCAAGGAUUCACUUCUCUCUUGGACACUGGCGGGUGUAGACACGGUGGAUUUUGUGACGAGCGGAUUUACAAUGAGGGAAUGCUGUGAACGGGAAAAAUGAUGAUUGACCAAAGGAGCAUUAGUGGAAAAGAACAGUGUAGCCCUGAGACAAUAGGAUGAUGUCUGGACCAAUGAGAACUGCCAGCAGGGGGCGCAGGAAUGCUCUUCUCACUUAGCCUCACGACCAAUGAGAACGGCCAGCAGGGGGCGCAGGAAUGCUCUUCUCUCUUAGCCUCUCGCAGGUGGCGGUAGGAGCGCGCAGAGGGCGCUACGAGCGCGCGCAUGCGUAGCACCCGUAGAGUGGCGCUUACGUCAGUCCACCUCUGGCUCUCGUUGGGAGAAGACGUGCGGUCGUUCGCUCCGUCGUCACUUGAUCCCUGGCUGUCGACGAGAGCAGUCGCAUCGGUCUGCGCUCCUACUGUGGUGAGGUGAUUUGUUGUGUAACUAAUGCUUUCGCCAACUUUGUUCCCGCUUUGUUUGCGAUUUUCGUGCCCGUGCACGUCGGGUGCUGGUUGCUGUUGUCCGGGCAUUCCCGCCAUUUUCUAUCAUCUUCUGCCUUGGGACCGGGAGUAGUGCUGGCGUGAUUCUUAAUAAUUUUGUUGUGAGAUUAGUUGAGAAAGUAACCGCUAGGGGGUGCAGCUGCGGGGUUUAUACAGGACAAAAACCAUUACGAGUCAGUUUCUGCCUGCCUCUCGGAUGGAGCAGUCGCAUGGUUCUGCGCUCCUGUUCUGGUGGGCUCAUUUGUUGUGUAACUAAUUUUUUUUGUUGUUAGCUAUUGAUGGUUUGCAUACUCUUGCUUUUCCAGCCUCUGUAUUACGAGUGUUUUUCUCCUUGCAUGCCCAGAGCUGUCCUAACUUGCCCAGACAUGCCGUGAUGACGUCACAGCUGACGUCACAGGAUGUCCGGAACUGGUGGUCAUAGCUGCGAUGCUUUGCAACCUGCCUCUGUGCUCCGUCGCCCAGCGACGGUCAGCGGCCUUUCCGGACCGCUUUCUUCAAGAUGGCGCCGUUGAUCUUCAAUUAAACUCCUUCUCUCCACUCUA